rnacentral:rRNA from 1 species
GACGGAGGAUGCAAGUGUUAUCCGGAAUCACUGGGCGUAAAGCGUCUGUAGGUGGUUUAAUAAGUCAACUGUUAAAUCUUGAGGCUCAACCUCAAAAUCGCAGUCGAAACUAUUAGGCUAGAGUAUAGUAGGGGUAAAGGGAAUUUCCAGUGGAGCGGUGAAAUGCGUAGAGAUCGGGAAGAACGCCAAGGGCGAAGGCACUCUGCUAGGCCUGAUUUCGCGACUGACACUCAGGGACGAGAGCCAGGGGAGCGAAUGGG